AAGCUCCAAAGAACUGUGCAACAUGAGUGAUCUUACAGACCAAAGCUAAAAGAAUCAAGGAAUUAUACAAGCAUCCUCUAAUUGGUUAAAGCAGCAGCACUGCCCUCCUUAUAUGGGGUAAAGAAGAUCUCUUGGGUGAUAUAACUUGUGCUGAGCAGGCAAGUGCUGACUUGGAGAGCUUCCUUUUCUGGGAGAGCUGAGCAGAGAUACCUAGAAUCAGUUUUUCAUGAUUUUGAGCUGAGCCUGUUCCUGUUAUCACUUGGCUUCACCGACUGCGCUCAACUGGGGAUGUGCUGGAGUUUGUCCUCUUGGAAAUGCAAUAGAAACUGACAAGAAGUGAGACGAGAAUUUAAGACAAGUCUUUCUCGAGGCUCCCGCAGAACCACCGGAGAUCGAAAACUAGGAACAGGUGCCGAGGAGAGCUGGCUGGUUCCUUAAAUAAGACAUGUGACUGCUUCCAGUUUUUGUCUGCUGCUACUGCUGCUAAGUCGCUUCAGUCGUGUCCGACUCCAUGCAACCCCAUAGACAGCAGCCCACCAGGCUCCCCCGUCCUUGGGAUUCUCCAGGCAAGAACACUGGAGUGUGUUGCCAU